rnacentral:rRNA from 1 species
UACGUAGGGCGCAAGCGUUGUCCGGAAUUAUUGGGCGUAAAGAGCUCGUAGGCGGCUUGUCGCGUCGACUGUGAAAACCCGUGGCUCAACCAUGUGGUCUGCAGUCGAUACGGGCAGGCUAGAAUUCGGUAGGGGAGACUGGAAUUCCUGGUGUAGCGGUGGAAUGCGCAGAUAUCAGGAGGAACACCGGUGGCGAAGGCGGGUCUCUGGGCAGUAACUGACGCUGAGGAGCGAAAGCGUGGGGAGCGAACAGG